ACUGCUAUUUGGGUGAGGAUAAGCCAUGCGAGUUGUAUGGGAUACCUAAAAUUCCCAUAGCAAACUGCUUAGUAACACAUGAUCAACUUACCCUAUGGAGAAAAAUAACCUCGGGAAACUGAGGAUAAUGUUUCAUAGUUGAAUAGGCUUGGAAAAGUUUUUCAAUGAAAGGAAUAAGGUAAAUGGAUUUUAUUUGCCAUAGGAUAGGAUCGUGGUCGAUUAUGGUAGUUGGUGAGAUAACGGCUCACCAAGCCGAUAAUCGAUAGGGGCCGUGAGAGCGGGAGCCCCAAGAUGGGUACUGAGACAGCGACCCAGGCCUUACGAGGCGCAGCAGGCGCGAGACCUCCGCAAUACACGAAAGUGUGACGGGGUUACCCAAAGUGUUCUCUUAAGAACUGUGGCAGGUGAGUAAUGUCCCCUGCUAGAAAGGAGAGGGCAAGGCUGGUGCCAGCCGCCGCGGUAAAACCAGCUCUUCAAGUGGCCGGGAUAAUUAUUGGGCUUAAAGUGUCCGUAGCCGGUUUAGUAAGUUCCUGGUAAAAUCGGGUAGCUUAACUAUCUGUAUGCUAGGAAUACUGCUAUACUAGAGGGCGGGAGAGGUCUGAGGUACUACAGGGGUAGGGGUGAAAUCUUAUAAUCCUUGUAGGACCACCAGUGGCGAAGGCGUCAGACUGGAACGCGCCUGACGGUGAGGGACGAAAGCCAGGGGAGCGAACCGGAUUAGAUACCCGGGUAGUCCUGGCCGUAAACGAUGCAUACUAGGUGAUGGUACGGCCAUGAGCCGUAUCAGUGCCGUAGGGAAACCGUUAAGUGUGCCGCCUGGGAAGUACGGUCGCAAGGCUAAAACUUAAAGGAAUUGGCGGGGGAGCACCACAAGGGGUGAAGCCUGCGGUUCAAUUGGACCCAACGCCGGGAAACUUACCAGGGGAGACAGCAGAAUGAAGGUCAGGUUGACGACCUUACCUGAUGAGCUGAGAGGAGGUGCAUGGCCGUCGCCAGUUCGUGCUGUGAGGUAUCCUGUUAAGUCAGGCAACGAACGAGAUCCGCACCUUUAUUUGCCAACAAGAAGUUACGACUUCGUUGGGAACACUAAAGGGACCGCCGUCGAUAAGACGGAGGAAGGAGCGGGCAAAGGCAGGUCAGUAUGCCCCGAAACCCCUGGGCUACACGCGGGCUGCAAUGGUAUGAACAAUGGGCUGUAACUCCGAAAGGAGAAACCAAUCCCGAAAUCAUAUCACAGUGGGGAUUGUUGGCUGUAACCCGCCGACAUGAACGUGGAAUCCCUAGUAAUCGUGUGCCAUCAUCGCACGGUGAAUACGUCUCUGCUCCUUGCACACACCGCCCGUCGCUCCAUCCGAGUGUACUAAAAAUGAGGUUUGGUCAGACUGGUCAUAUCGAGUUUCUAGUAUGCGAGGAGGGAGAAGUCGUAACAAGGUA
rnacentral:rRNA from 1 species